rnacentral:rRNA from 1 species
AGUGAACGCUGGCGGUAUGCCUAACACAUGCAAGUCGAACGGCAGCACAGUAAGAGCUUGCUCUUACGGGUGGCGAGUGGCGGACGGGUGAGGAAUACAUCGGAAUCUACUUUUUCGUGGGGGAUAACGUAGGGAAACUUACGCUAAUACCGCAUACGACCUACGGGUGAAAGCAGGGGAUCUUCGGACCUUGCGCGAUUGAAUUAGCCGAUGUCGGAUUAGCUAGUUGGCUGGGUAAAGGCCCACCAAGGCGACGAUCCGUAGCUGGUCUGAGAGGAUGAUCAGCCACACUGGAACUGAGACACGGUCCAGACUCCUACGGGAGGCAGCAGUGGGGAAUAUUGGACAAUGGGCGCAAGCCUGAUCCAGCAAUACCGCGUGGGUGAAGAAGGCCUUCGGGUUGUAAAGCCCUUUUGUUGGGAAAGAAAAGCAGCAGGUUAAUACCCCGCUGUUCUGACGGUACCCAAAGAAUAAGCACCGGCUAACUUCGUG